rnacentral:rRNA from 1 species
AGAGUUUGAUCCUGGCUCAGAUUGAACGCUGGCGGAAUGCUUUACACAUGCAAGUCGAGCGGCAGCGCGGGGGCAACCCUGGCGGCGAGCGGCGAACGGGUGAGUAAUACAUCGGAACGUACCCUGUCGUGGGGGAUAACUAACCGAAAGGUUAGCUAAUACCGCAUACGACCUGAGGGUGAAAGCGGGGGAUCGCAAGACCUCGCGCGAUAGGAGCGGCCGAUGUCAGAUUAGCUAGUUGGUGAGGUAAAGGCUCACCAAGGCGACGAUCUGUAGCGGGUCUGAGAGGACGGCCCGCCACACUGGAACUGAGACACGGUCCAGACUCCUACGGGAGGCAGCAGAGGGGAAUUUUGGACAAUGGGGGCAACCCUGAUCCAGCCAUUCCGCGUGAGUGAAGAAGGCCUUCGGGUUGUAAAGCUCUUUCGGCAGGAACGAAACGGUGCAGGCUAAUACCUUGCAUCAAUGACGGUACCUGAAGAAGAAGCACCGGCUAACUACGUGCCAGCAGCCGCGGUAAUACGUAGGGUGCGAGCGUUAAUCGGAAUUACUGGGCGUAAAGCGUGCGCAGGCGGUUUUGUAAGACAGAUGUGAAAUCCCCGGGCUUAACCUGGGAACUGCGUUUGUGACUGCAAGACUUGAGUGCGGCAGAGGGGGGUGGAAUUCCACGUGUAGCAGUGAAAUGCGUAGAGAUGUGGAGGAACACCGAUGGCGAAGGCAGCCCCCUGGGUCGACACUGACGCUCAUGCACGAAAGCGUGGGUAGCAAACAGGAUUAGAUACCCUGGUAGUCCACGCCCUAAACGAUGCGAACUAUGUGUUGGGGAAGGAGACUUUCUUAGUACCGCAGCUAACGCGUGAAGUUCGCCGCCUGGGGAGUACGGUCGCAAGAUUAAAAUUAAAUGAAUUGACGG